ensembl:lncRNA
GGCACACUGUCAACUGGGCUGGACUUCCUGAGUUUCAGUUUCCUGAGUCUCAGAGGCUGAGAUACUGAAGAAUUUUCCCCUCACAUUUUGUGCCUGCUUAGCUACCUAGACAGAGCAGCUAUCCAUGGCUCCAAUCCUUGAAUGGAUUCUUCCAAGAGGCAUGGUCCAUGUGGCUUUGUCAUUCAUGUGGAUAUUGACUGGGUAUACAGAACGACCCUCUACACAUAUACAGCUGUAAACCUGUGAUGCUCAAGCUACAGGCAGUCCAUAGAACACUUGGAAUUUGCUUUUUCUGACAUUUUUGUAGUCAGCAAUUAUGUCUCAGAGCGGGCACCGGAUCCUGAAAAAGACAUUCUGACUCUCUCUGCUGCGAGACAGACACUGUGGGCUGCAGAUGACUUUGAAGAGGGCUCCGCCACUCAAUACCAGAACAAUGAAACAGAGAAAGGAGAAAACACUGGAAGAGAAUUGGCUAAGAUUACAGGGAUAUAUUUUAUUUAUGUCAAGGAUGAAGAUGCAUAUACAAAAGCACACUAUUUCUAACACCCAGGAACAACAUGAUUUGCAUAGAUCCUUACAUGAAAUUUCAGGAAGAAAUGGACCUCAUUUAUUGGACUACUGCAAAGAUGAAUUGGCCACAGAAGACAGUAAAUCUCAUUUUGGAAAAGUUAUCCUUACUAUUGAAGGCUUCUAUCAAUAUCUAUAAAACAAGAAAGUAAUUUUGAAUAAAGAAGGAAUAAAAUAGUGGAAAAAUAAUAUAAAAACACUUGUAUAUUCAUGUUAAAAAUACUCUGCAGAGAGAAUUCCAACUCCUUACAUAUUGAUGUAGAUCUCGGUGGUCUUCAGUGUUUUAGUGUUUCUGUUUCUGUGUAUCAAGUAUUCUUGAAAUUGCUUUAAUAAGAAUUAUAUUACCCCAGGGAUAGGUAGAAAUUAUAUAUUGACAAGUUCAGCAUGGGAAAUGUUCCUUCCACUAAUUUUAGAAUCUAUAGAGGAAUUACCCAUUGGUCAAUUUUCUUAGAGAAGGAUACAGAAUUCAAAAUAAGCGAGAAUUUUCUCAGGAGACUUGAAGCAGACCAGUUACAUGUUGUUGGUAAUGAGGAAACAGAAUUGCUGAGAUGUAAUAAGCUCAGAGUUUGAGGGUGAUGGGGACAGAGGAGGCACAUGACUAGCUGUGUGUUAAAGAUAAAGGCCUUCUGGAGAAGAUGGCUUCCUUGUCUAAGGUUAUCCACAGAUACUCAGUCUUAUCUGUCAUGACUAUACACAUCCUGAAUGUGACAAAAAUAAACAAAGCAAACAAACAAAGCAGUCACUAAGCAAGUUCUCAUUGACUGAGCAUCAUGUUCUGUGCUCUAAUGCAAUCUUGCUCCAUGCCUCAACACAGCAAACUCAGCAUCUUCUUAUGAGCUUAUCAAGGUUCAAGCAAUCACUAUUGCACAACACCAGAAAAAACUGGAACACUGUUGUAUGCUUUAUAGCCUGAGGUUAUUUCAUAAUGUUAAUGGGUAAGUCUAUAACUUUUUUGUGGGCCAACUAACUGUUGUAUCAAGCUUUUUGUCUUUUACUGGUUUAGGUAGUAGUCCAUCCGGAAUUGACUUUUGUUUAUAGUGUGAAGAAGGAAUUCAGGAAAGAUGUGAGGUAUUUAGAUAUCAUUUUCAUUUGACUAAUUUUGAAGAGUAAUAAACAUUCUAGGAUAGGAUUAUACUGUAGUUCAAUUUUCAUAUAUGAUUUAAAAAUAAGAAGCAACAUCACGAAGAAGUUAUUUUUAUCCUAAAAUUUACAUAGUAGUGUAAAGGAUUAAAGCUAACCAAGACAUUCUUGAAGAACAAUAAAGUAGAAAAAUAGACAUGUAUCAGAGACCCCUGCAGCAGAUCCCAUCUUCUGCUUGGUGUUACAAUGCAUGAUGAGAAGACUUAGAGACAGAAUUAGAGAAACAGAGACAGGGAACUGGGAUGAUCAGCUCUUGUGCAAGCAAAGGCUUGAGAAAGCCAUAGCCCUGGCCAGCCAAAACAAUCAAUAUUUAUUGGUGACACAAUCAUUGGUUAAAUUGGGGUGAGGGGACUAUGUGUGGUUGCUAUAGAUGUGUUGCUGAGGCAGGCAAGGCUUGUAAAAGAAGAGACAAAGCAUUCUUGUGUUAGUUUGGGAAUGGUAUUUGGGUAAGAGUCACUUUGACCUCACUGUGUGUUAUCUCAUAGGCUUUGGUCAGACUUACUUCUUCAACUAAGCCAAUUGUGGGGUUAAUUCUUUACAGCCUGCAUUGUUUGCAGCAUUCUUUGUGCAGAAUCAAUGGGGCGGUUUGCCACAGGUGUGGAAAGAUAUAUGAAUGAAGAGAAUGUUAAUUGGUUUGUACUAAUAAAUCAGUGGAAAUGAACAGACUCAGGCACAUUUGGACAUUUGCUAUAUGAUAAGGAUAGUGUUGCAGAUGAGUAGAAAACAGUAAACUAUUCAUAGGUGGUGCUAAGUCUAUUGAUCACUCUCAUGGAAAAAUGAACUGAAUCCCUUCCUCACACCAUAAAUGAAACUGAAAGUGUAAAUGAGAAUCAGAGUGUAUAAUAGAUAAUAUGAAAUAGGAAGAAAAGGUCCAAAGGGGAAAGGAAGAGGGAGGGGUAGAGGAAAAGAAAGAUAGGAAAGGAAUAAAUAUGAGAAAAGGAAAAACCAGAAACAAAUUCUUUGUAAAUAGAAAGGGAUGGAAUGGUUGAAGGGAGGGCAGGGGAAUGGGGAAAAAAUAAGAAGCAAGAUAUAUCAUGUAAAUGUACAAAUUCCCAGUGAUGAAUGUCAUCACAUUGUACACCUAAAAUGUAUCAAUAAAAUUAAUGAAUAAAAAAGUGAAUUUCAGGUGGACUACUAUCUAAAUGCUAUAAGGUUUUUAGGAGAUAAAAUAGAAUGACACCUUUAUAACUUGGGGAAAAGAAAAUUUUAUUACAUCAUUUUUUAAAGUAAGACACAAAAACUUAACUAUGAAAGACUAAAAACAACUACAUAGAUUCCUAAAAGUCCCGAAGAAAAUUAAGUUAGAAAAAGGGACAAAAAUUUUGAACAAUCACUUUGUAAAAGAGAAAAUUCAAAUCUGCAUUAAUGGAUAAAAGAUACUUUAUUCAUUAGUAAUAAAAUAAACAAAUUAAAGCAGUUUUGUUUUUUACAUUUUUGUGAUUUGAUUUAAUUAACAUACCAUAAGCUGCAUGUACUCAAAGUAUCAGAUUUGAUGGCUUUUGAUGUAUGACUACUGUGAAAGUAUCGUGCCAGUUAAGGAUACAAACAUUUCUGUCUUCCCUCAAAUGCUAAUGGUGCUCUUGUAAUCCAUUCUUUCCAUUUCUCUUGCUCUUUCAGUCCUUAAGCAACAACUUACAAGUUGUGUGUUGUCACUCUAAGUUGUUGGGUUUUAAAAAAUUUUAAAUGUAAGUGGGAUCAUUCAGAAUGUAUUCUUUCAUGUCUGAUUUCCUUUACUAAGAGAUAAGAUGUGAAAUUCAUUUAUGUUUUUGUGUGUAUCAAUUGUUCCUUCCUUUUUGUCAUGGAAUAUUAUCCCAUUACAUGCAUUUACUAGUUUCUUUAUUCAUUGGCCUGUUAACUGAAUAAGAUGAAUGAGGUGACUAAGAUGAUGGGGAUACAGUUAUCUUUGUACAAGCCUACCUUUGCAUUGGAUGGGACUUGGCAGCAGCAUUCACCCUACUUUUGAUCCUAUCUUGUAAAGAUACUCACAAAAGAAGACUUCUGGAACUGGUUCAGAAAAUGGCAACAACAAUGUGUAAAUGUGUUCAAAGCAGACAAAGAGCAUUUGUAUUGUUUCCAAUAAUGUUGGAGCUGGGCAUUUAGCUCAGUGGUGCCACCGCCUGCCUCCAAAGUGCAAAGUCCUGAGUUUGAUCCCUAUAAAAAAAAAAGAAAGAAAUCAAUAAAGUUGGAGAUGUGCAGCCUCAAUGAGCCAGCAAUUUGACUCUUUAGUCAUAUAUACUAGGAUUUUUAUAUGCACACCAAAAUAUACGUAUAAAAAUGUUUGCAGUACAGUGUUAGUGAUAGUUCUAAGCUAGAAAUAACCCACUUGCUCAUCAAUAGAAGAACAGCUAAUAAACUGUUGGCUAUUAUGUAGAGCAUUUCAUUUCACCUAGCACUGAACACUAAAGAUUUAUCAUUGCACACUAUAGUAUAGAUCAAUGUUAUAAUGUUGAGCAAAAGGAGAAAUACAUGAAUAAAUUAAUAUAUUAUGAAUAAAUGUAUGUAAAAAUUACAAAAUUUCUAAAUUUUAGACACUUAUAAAAGACGAAUAAUGCUUAUAAAAAUGAAGAUGGUGGUUCUCUUUCAUGGAAACGGAUUGUGAAGAGGGGGGCUCAACUGCUAUUUCUGCAAGGGGUAAAAGUGUCUUUGGGACAGAGUGGUGUGAAAUCUUUAAUAUCAUACACAAAAUUUGGUAUUAGACAAAGUUGGG